GAUGAACGCUGGCGGCGUGCCUAAUACAUGCAAGUCGAGCGAACGGACGAGAAGCUUGCUUCUCUGACGUUAGCGGCGGACGGGUGAGUAACACGUGGAUAACCUACCUAUAAGACUGGGAUAACUUCGGGAAACCGGAGCUAAUACCGGAUAAUAUAUUGAACCGCAUGGUUCAAAAGUGAAAGACGGUCUUGCUGUCACUUAUAGAUGGAUCCGCGCUGCAUUAGCUAGUUGGUAAGGUAACGGCUUACCAAGGCAACGAUGCAUAGCCGACCUGAGAGGGUGAUCGGCCACACUGGAACUGAGACACGGUCCAGACUCCUACGGGAGGCAGCAGUAGGGAAUCUUCCGCAAUGGGCGAAAGCCUGACGGAGCAACGCCGCGUGAGUGAUGAAGGUCUUCGGAUCGUAAAACUCUGUUAUUAGGGAAGAACAUAUGUGUAAGUAACUGUGCACAUCUUGACGGUACCUAAUCAGAAAGCCACGGCUAACUACGUG
rnacentral:rRNA from 1 species